UACGUAGGGUGCAAGCGUUGUCCGGAAUUAUUGGGCGUAAAGAGCUCGUAGGCGGUCUGUCGCGUCUGCUGUGAAAACUCAGGGCUUAACCCUGAGCUUGCAGUGGGUACGGGCAGACUAGAGUGCGGUAGGGGGAGACUGGAAUUCCUGGUGUAGCGGUGAAAUGCGCAGAUAUCAGGAGGGAACACCGGUGGCGAAGGCGGGUCUCUGGGCCGUAACUG
rnacentral:rRNA from 1 species